rnacentral:rRNA from 1 species
GCUGCGGUAAUUUGACCGUGCAAAGGUAGCAUAAUCAGUAGUCUUUUAAUUGAAGGCUUGUAUGAAUGGUUGGAUGAAAGAGUAGCUGUCUCUUUUGCAAUUUAAAACUUGACUUUUAAGUGAAAAGGCUUAAAUUUAAUAAGGGGACGAUAAGACCCUAUAAAACUUUAUGCACGACAUGUCUUGUCUUUAAAUUAUAUCUAAAUAUUGGUUGGUUAAAAGUGCAUUCCGUUGGGGAGACGUUGAUAUAAGCUGUAACUGUCUUAUUAAAUAGAAUAAUUAUUAUUAUAAUUUGAUCCUUCUUUGUGGAUAAAAAGAAUAAGUUACUUUAGGGAUAACAGCGUAAUUUUCUCAGAGAGUUCUUAUCGAAGAGAAUAGUUGCGACCUCGAUGUUGAAUUAAAAUUUCAGUUAGGUGUAGCCGCUUAGCUAGUAGGUCUGUUCGACCUUUAAAAUU